rnacentral:rRNA from 1 species
AAAAACAUGGCUCUUUGAUUAUAUAAAUAUAAAGAGUCGGGCCUGCCCAGUGAAAAUUUUUAACGGCCGCGGUACUUUGACCGUGCAAAGGUAGCAUAAUCAUUUGCCUUAUAAUUGAAGGCUAGUAUGAAUGGUUUGACGAGAGCAACACUGUCUCCUUUUUAAUUUCAAGAAUUUAACUUUUAGGUGAAGAGGCCUAAAUUUUAUUGAAGGACAAGAAGACCCUGUCGAGCUUAAAAGAUAUUGUGGGAUCUUAUAUACCUUUAAAUAAACUUUCUACCAAGCUUUUUAGUUGGGGCGACUAAGGAACAAAAAAAGCUUCUUUCUAAAAACAGACAGUCAUGUUUAGAUCCAAUAAAUUUGAUCAAAGAAAUUAGUUACCGCAGGGAUAACAGCAUAAUCUCUCUUGAGAGGCCUAAUCGAAAGAGGGGGUUGUGACCUCGAUGUUGGACUAGAAUAUCCUAAAGAUGCAGAAGUCUUUAAG